rnacentral:telomerase_RNA from 1 species
AUUGAGAGAUGAGGGUCAUAUACCUCCAACAUGGUGAGUGUAUGACUGAUCGAGCUAACCCAAACAAACCCUUGAGUACACCGAAGAAGUGCUACCAAAAAUAUUAUCCGUGUUUAUUUGCUCGUUGAUUCACUACAAAAAUUCAGCGAGUCACUCAUCUCUCCUUAUU